GUGCUUACACAUGCAGUCGAACGAUGAACCUCACUUGUGGGGGGAUUAGUGGCGAACGGGUGAGUAACACGUGAGUAACCUGCCCUUGACUCUGGGAUAAGCCUGGGAAACCGGGUCUAAUACUGGAUACGACCUUCUGGCGCAUGCCAUGUUGGUGGAAAGCUUUUGUGGUUUUGGAUGGACUCGCGGCCUAUCAGCUUGUUGGUGGGGUAAUGGCCUACCAAGGCGACGACGGGUAGCCGGCCUGAGAGGGUGACCGGCCACACUGGGACUGAGACACGGCCCAGACUCCUACGGGAGGCAGCAGUGGGGAAUAUUGCACAAUGGGCGCAAGCCUGAUGCAGCGACGCCGCGUGAGGGAUGAAGGCCUUCGGGUUGUAAACCUCUUUCAGUAGGGAAGAAGCCGGCCUUUUGGGUUGGUGACGGUACCUGCAGAAGAAGCGCCGGCUAACUACGUGCC
rnacentral:rRNA from 1 species